rnacentral:rRNA from 1 species
GCUCCUGGAUUCACGGCGGUCGGGUGAUCAAUGCCUAAGUAAUCUGCCUGGUGAUGGGGGAUAACGUCCGGAAACGGGCGCUAAUACCGCAUACGUCCUGAGGGAGAAAGUGGGGGAUCUUCGGACCUCACGCUAUCAGAUAGAGCCUAGGUCGGAUUAGCUUAGUUGGUGGGGUAAAGGCCUACCAAGGCGACGAUCCGUAACUGGUCUGAGAGGAUGAUCAAGUCACACUGGGAACUGAGACACGGUCCAGACUCCUACGGGAAGGCAGCAGUGG